rnacentral:lncRNA from 1 species
GACUACUCUGUGGAUGUAUGAAAAACCACUGAAUUGCAGUUUAAGGGCUGACAAGUUGUCUAAAAGGGCAGGAGGACUUACUCCUGACAUGCAUCUGCCACCCAAACCAUCACAAUAGCCUUCCGCCUUCUCAGUGGGAGUACGAGUGACCCUGCAGCAGAAGGCAGCAGGAGGUGGUGACAAGAAUACACGUCUGGCCCUAAAACCUGGGUCAGUCACAUCCUGGCUGCCAUUCACCAGCUAUAUGAUUUUAGGAAAGUGGAUUCACCUCUGAGCUGCAGAUUCCUCAUCAAUAAAAUGAAGACAAG